GACGUAGGGCGCGAGCGUUGUCCGGAUUUAUUGGGCGUAAAGAGCUCGUAGGCGGCUUGUUGCGUCGGCUGUGAAAACCCGCGGCUUAACCGUGGGCUUGCAGCCGAUACGGGCAGGCUAGAGUUCGGUAGGGGAGACUGGAAUUCCCAGUGUAGCGGUGAAAUGCGUAGAUAUUGGGAGGAACACCAGUGGCGAAGGCGGCUACCUGGACCGGAACUGACGCUGAUGCGCGAAAGCGUGGGGAGCAAACAGG
rnacentral:rRNA from 1 species